GAUGAACGCUGGCGGCGUGCCUAAUACAUGCAAGUCGAGCGAACAGACGAGGAUCUUGCUCCUCUGACGUUAGCGGCGGACGGGUGAGUAACACGUGGAUAACCUACCUAUAAGACUGGGAUAACUUCGGGAAACCGGAGCUAAUACCGGAUAAUAUAUUGAACCGCAUGGUUCAAUAGUGAAAGACGGAUUUGCUGUCACUUAGAGAUGGAUCCGCGCCGCAUUAGCUAGUUGGUAAGGUAACGGCUUACCAAGGCGACGAUGCGUAGCCGACCUGAGAGGGUGAUCGGCCACACUGGAACUGAGACACGGUCCAGACUCCUACGGGAGGCAGCAGUAGGGAAUCUUGCGCAAUGGGCGAAAGCCUGACGGAGCAACGCCGCGUGAGUGAUGAAGGUCUUCGGAUCGUAAAACUCUGUUAUUAGGGAAGAACAAAUGUGUAAGUAACUAUGCACGUCUUGACGGUACCUAAUCAGAAAGCCCCGGCUAACUCCGUG
rnacentral:rRNA from 1 species